GUCACUGUAGCACAAUAGAUAGCUCGUUGGACUUCUAAUCCAAAGGUGGUGCGUUUCGAAUUCCACCUGGAAUGGCC